AGUCCAGGACUGAAAUUCGGGAAACCCACGCUCAACUACCAGCUGAAAUUCAACAAAUCAAAUACCAAGGAACUAAAAGAGUGGAACAUAGAGCUACAAAGGACAUACCUGAGCCAUUUUUACAGUAUGAAGUAAGCAACUAGUAAAGGACAUUCUUCAAAAUCAGUCUUAAGAAGGAUUCAAAUACAAGAGAUGAACGGAAAACAUAUUUCAUGGGCUUGAAGGCUCCUGAAGAAUGCAAACUUAAUCUGAACAUGUAGUAUUAUUUGCUGCAUGUCACCAUGUGUUUGGAUGCUGUCAGUGAGUAGUGCCCCAUAACCACUUUAAUUAAACUGGAAAGAAGUAGUAUAUAUUUAAUUUAAAGCCUGACAUUACAAAAUAUUUUCACGUAACAGAGCCCAUUGAAAUCAGUCAGUGACCUACUAUUAACUUCAAUGGGUUUGGAUCAGGCACUGUAUGCAUAUAGGGUCUGAAGGUGGUUUUGGACUGUGCCAAAAAUGGUACUAAAGUGGUAUGAAACU